ensembl:snRNA U6 U6 spliceosomal RNA
GCGCUUGUUUUGGCAGUACAUAUACUAAAAUUUGAAUGAUACAGACAAGAUUAGCAUGACCCCUGCACAAGGAUGACACACCAACUCAUGAAGCAUUCCAUAUUUUU